CAGUCGCCGCGGGAAUACGUAGGUGGCAAGCGUUGUCCGGAAUUAUUGGGCGUAAAGGGCUCGCAGGCGGUUUCUUAAGUCUGAUGUGAAAGCCCCCGGCUCAACCGGGGAGGGUCAUUGGAAACUGGGAAACUUGAGUGCAGAAGAGGAGAGUGGAAUUCCACGUGUAGCGGUGAAAUGCGUAGAGAUGUGGAGGAACACCAGUGGCGAAGGCGACUCUCUGGUCUGUAACUGACGCUGAGGAGCGAAAGCGUGGGGAGCGAACAGGAUUAGAUACCCGGGUAGUCCCUGUCUCUUAUAU
rnacentral:rRNA from 1 species